rnacentral:rRNA from 1 species
UACGGGGGGGGGUAAGCGUUGUUCGGAAUUACUGGGCGUAAAGAGCUCGUAGGCGGUCUGUCGCGUCCGUUGUGAAAACUCGAGGCUCAACCUCGGGCUUGCAGUGGAUACGGGCAGACUAGAGUGCGGUAGGGGAGACUGGAAUUCCUGGUGUAGCGGUGAAUGCGCAGAGUAUCAGGAGGAACACCGAUGGCGAAGGCAGGUCUCUGGGCCGCAACUGACGCUGAGGAGCGAAAGCAUGGGGAGCGAACAGG